CCCCCCGUAGCUCAGUGGAAGAGCAUCCGGCUGUAGGCGGGAAGGGUCGCCGGUUCAAAUCCGGCCGGGGGG
rnacentral:tRNA from 1 species